UACGGAGGGGGCGAGCGUUGUUCGGAAUCACUGGGCGUAAAGGGCGCGUAGGCGGUCAUGUAUGUCAGGUGUGAAAUCCCUAGGCUUAACUUAGGAAUUGCGCUUGAAACUGCAUGGCUAGAGGCUGGGAGAGGAAAGUGGAAUUCCUGGUGUAGCGGUGAAAUGCGUAGAUAUCAGGAGGAACACCGGUGGCGAAAGCGGCUUUCUGGACCAGUUCUGACGCUGAGGCGCGAAAGCGUGGGGAGCAAACGGGAUUAGAUACCCCGGUAGUCCACGCUGUAAACGAUGAGCACUAGGUGUAGCGGGUAUCGACCCCUGCUGUGCCGCAGUUAACGCAUUAAGUGCUCCGCCUGGGGAGUACGGUCGCAAGACUGAA
rnacentral:rRNA from 1 species